rnacentral:rRNA from 1 species
GUGGGGAAUAUUGGACAAUGGGCGAAAGCCUGAUCCAGCCAUGCCGCGUGUGUGAAGAAGGUCUUCGGAUUGUAAAGCACUUUAAGUUGGGAGGAAGGGCAGUAAGUUAAUACCUUGCUGUUUUGACGUUACCGACAGAAUAAGCACCGGCUAACUUCGUGCCAGCAGCCGCGGUAAUACGAAGGGUGCAAGCGUUAAUCGGAAUUACUGGGCGUAAAGCGCGCGUAGGUGGUUUUGUAAGUUGGAGGUGAAAUCCCCGGGCUCAACCUGGGAACUGCCUCAAAAACUGCAUGACUAGAGUACGGUAGAGGGUAGUGGAAUUUCCUGUGUAGCGGUGAAAUGCGUAGAUAUAGGAAGGAACACCAGUGGCGAAGGCGACUACCUGGACUGAUAAUGACACUGAGGUGCGAAAGCGUGGGGAGCAAACAGGAUUAGAAACCCCUGUAGUCC